AUCUGGGAUAGCUCAGUUGGUAGAACAUGAGACUCUAAAUCUUAGGGUCAGGGGUUCAAGUCCCAUGCUGGAUG